UGGGGAAUAUUGGACAAUGGGCGAAAGCCUGAUCCAGCCAUGCCGCGUGUGUGAAGAAGGUCUUCGGAUUGUAAAGCACUUUAAGUUGGGAGGAAGGGCAGUAAGCGAAUACCUUGCUGUUUUGACGUUACUCGCAGAAUAAGCACCGGCUAACUCUGUGCCAGCAGCCGCGGUAAUACAGAGGGUGCAAGCGUUAAUCGGAUUUACUGGGCGUAAAGCGCGCGUAGGCGGCUAAUUAAGUCAAAUGUGAAAUCCCCGAGCUUAACUUGGGAAUUGCAUUCGAUACUGGUUAGCUAGAGUGUGGGAGAGGAUGGUAGAAUUCCAGGUGUAGCGGUGAAAUGCGUAGAGAUCUGGAGGAAUACCGAUGGCGAAGGCAGCCAUCUGGCCUAACACUGACGCUGAGGUGCGAAAGCAUGGGGAGCAAACAGG
rnacentral:rRNA from 1 species